rnacentral:rRNA from 1 species
AUUGAACGCUGGCGGCAGGCUUAACACAUGCAAGUCGAGCGGGGGAAGGUAGCUUGCUACCGGACCUAGCGGCGGACGGGUGAGUAAUGCUUAGGAAUCUGCCUAUUAGUGGGGGACAACAUCUCGAAAGGGAUGCUAAUACCGCAUACGUCCUACGGGAGAAAGCAGGGGAUCUUCGGACCUUGCGCUAAUAGAUGAGCCUAAGUCGGAUUAGCUAGUUGGUGGGGUAAAGGCAUGACAAGGCGACGAUCUGUAGCGGGUCUGAGAGGAUGAUCCGCCACACUGGGACUGAGACACGGCCCAGACUCCUACGGGAGGCCGCAGUGGGGAAUAUUGGACAAUGGGGGGAACCCUGAUCCAGCCAUGCCGCGUGUGUGAAGAAGGCCUUAUGGUUGUAAAGCACUUUAAGCGAGGAGGAGGCUACUCUAGUUAAUACCUAGGGAUAGUGGACGUUACUCGCAGAAUAAGCACCGGCUAACUCUGUGCCAGCCGCCGCAGUAAUAC